AUCUAUGGCCAUACCACCCGGAACGCACCCAACCUCAUCUGAUCUCAGAAGCUGAGCAAGGUAGGGCCUGGUUGGUACUUGAGUAGGAGACAAAGGAUGAACAUUAAUGUGAGCUAUGGCCU
rnacentral:rRNA from 1 species